UGACUUUUUUAAUAUCGAUUCUUACUAAAUUUUUUUGUUAACAUUAUUGUUGAACGCCCAGCUUUGAUUUUCUCAUUCUCUCAUAUUGCUGUCCACCAGCUUCGCCGACUCUGUCACCGCGUGCAUCAGUUGCUUCGCCGCCGCCUACCUCGUCUACCUUAUUCUCCCCGGCCUACCGUUACCCGGAUCUCGUUGAAGAGGUGAGAUCGGAUCCCCCACGGUCCCACCGCCCACCUCAUCCGAAAUCUGACAAAUCCUUUAUUCUAGAAAUGAAGAGGAUUAACGAAUCAAAUACCAUACUUCAUUUUUCAUAUGCAUCAAAAUACCAAGAAACUAAAACAAAAAUUAGAAUCAUAAAUCUUCUUGAGUUGCAAAUUUGAAUACCAUAAAUAGGGGACUAUUGUGGCAAUUAGGGCUGGGCUGUUGUUUUAGUAAGAGUUGAGGGUUGGGAGGCAGCGACAUGAGCGAAGGAAAAGAGAGAGAAGAGCAUCUCAGCUCAGGUGCUGAGUUGGUUUCAGUCACGCGGUUGGCCUUUGGCUUUAUUUCGCUG
rnacentral:lncRNA from 1 species